rnacentral:rRNA from 1 species
UCAACUUGAGAGUUUGAUCCUGGCUCAGAACGAACGCUGGCGGCAGGCCUAAUACAUGCAAGUCGAGCGCGCCCUUCGGGGUGAGCGGCGGACGGGUGAGUAACGCGUGGGAAUAUGCCCUUCUCUAAGGAAUAGCCUCUGGAAACGGAGAGUAAUACCUUAUACGCCCUUUGGGGGAAAGAUUUAUCGGAGAAGGAUUAGCCCGCGUUAGAUUAGGUAGUUGGUGGGGUAAUGGCCUACCAAGCCUACGAUCUAUAGCUGGUUUGAGAGGAUGAUCAGCCACACUGGGACUGAGACACGGCCCAGACUCCUACGGGAGGCAGCAGUAGGGAAUCUUAGACAAUGGGGGCAACCCUGAUCUAGCCAUGCCGCGUGUGUGAUGAAGGCCUUAGGGUCGUAAAGCACUUUCGCCAGAGAUGAUAAUGACAGUAUCUGGUAAAGAAACCCCGGCUAACUCCGUGCCAGCAGCCGCGGUAAUACGGAGGGGGUUAGCGUUGUUCGGAAUUACUGGGCGUAAAGCGCACGUAGGCGGAUUAGUAAGUUAGAGGUGAAAUCCCAGGGCUCAACCCUGGAACUGCCUUUAAUACUGCUAGUCUUGAGUUCGAGAGAGGUAAGUGGAAUUCCGAG